rnacentral:misc_RNA from 1 species
GUACAGUGUUAUUAUGUUUAACGGUUUUCUUCUGUUUCUCCCUUUCCACAGUCCUGCACGCUGGUUGGUCGCGAUGCUGCAGUGAACCGGAAAAAAGAGGAAAAAAAUCCGCUUCAUUCGGACAACUGCGCCACACGUGGGGUUUUUCAGUGGACAACGACGUAUACGAAGUAGACGACGUGGGAUAUUUUUACCACAAAUUCUUUGUCUUUAAUGUCGCCGGAGCGGCUAGUACGUAGUUCCAAGCGCGUUGUUUACAAAUAUUCGCACGAGUUUCAGUACCCCACUUUCGAACAUGGAGGGUGAUGACAAUGCUACCGAUUGCGACGGCAUCGACCUAGACAGACUGUGCCAGUGUGACGUGGACGACGAGGACGACGGCUGGGACCAGUGGGAUGGAUACGCUCCUGUCAAAUACUUCACGUAUGAACUCUCUGUGCGAGGUCGUCUCCGCAGACUUCUAGUGAAGAAUCCAUCCACCAGACUGUACAGUACACUGUUUGACUUGGUUGUGAACACUGUGCUGUGUUCUCUGUACGUGACUCGAGUCUGCCUUGACAAUGAAGACCAGUACAGAUGCCAUGGUCAGCCAUGCACGACAAGCAACGUUUCGGUCAGUAAGUCUGGAUUUUCCUCAACAGCCAUCAACUGGUAUGUGUUGCUAUGGGUGUACCGCCCCCUCCCAUUGUGGAUUGCCCAGAUACUGUUAUCUGUAGUUACUCUGGUGAAAGCAUCGUUACAAGUUUACGUCAUGACAAAGGGAACCCGGCGAGAUAACAUUUUGCACUUUUCCUUUCUUUUGGAGCUGUUCUGUUCAUUAAGCAUCAUAGUAACAGCCUUCUAUCCAGUAAUACUCCGCCAUAUCUUUGUUCCGACGUUCAUCCGGUGCUGGUUGGCGAAGAGAGCUUUACAGAAAAUCCUAAAUGACCUGCACCUCACCAAGCAGCGUUUUCAGACGAUCUCCGUAAUUCUGUCACAGCAGAUGUUGUUACUCAAUGUUACUCUGUUCUGUCUCAUCUUCACAACUGUGUGUGGGAUCCAGCACAUCCAGCGCGGCAGUGACACGACGUCGCUCAGUCUGUUCGAGUCAGUCUACUUUGUGAUCGUGACGUUCUCCACUGUUGGAUACGGAGAUAUCUCACCGGACAUCUGGCUCGGACAGCUCUUCAUGUUUGUCAUGAUCUGUGUGGCCUUCGCCUUCAUACCCAGACAGCUGGAGCAGAUUGCGACGACGUGGAUCCAGCGGAAGCGGUCUGGUGGUGAGUUCAGCCGCAGGAAGUCCCGCCGUAACAAGCACGUGGUUGUGUGUUCAACCGUCUUCACCACCGAGACCAUCAUGAACUUCCUCAACGAGUUCUACGCACAUCCCAAGUUAGAGGAACACACAGUCGUGCUGCUGAGUUCCCAGGAGCUGGACACGAGGAUGCAGAUGAUAUUCAAGGACCCUAAGUGGGCAAACAGAGUCGUGUACAUCCGCGGGUCGGUCCUCAAAGACAUCGACCUCAAGAGAUGCAGAAUCAGUGACGCAGAUGCGUGUUUCUUCUUGGGUGACAAACAGUGUGCUAAUAGUGAUAGAGCGGAUCAACAUUCCAUUCUGCGGUCGUGGGCUGUGAAGGAUUUCGCUCCCAAGUGUCAGCAGUACAUCCAGCUGUUUAAAACAGAGAACAAGAUGCACGUCAAGUUUGCAGAACAUGUUGUGUGUGAAGAUGAAUUUAAAUAUGCUCUCUUGGCCAACAACUGUCUGUACCCGGGAUUGUCAACACUCGUCAUGUUGUUACUUCACACAUCCAGGGGCAGAGAGGGUGAGAUUGCUUUGGAACCAUGGCAACAGGUUUACGGUCGUCACUCUGGUAACGAGAUCUACCACAUCCAGCUUGGCCGCAGCACAUUUUUCCGACAGUACGACGGCAAAUCCUUCACAACCGCAUCGGCCAACGCCCACCAGAGGUUUGGGAUUUCCCUGGUUGCCGUUCUGGACAUCACGCGAGCAGACCCACAGUUACAGCUGAAUCCCGGCCCUGACUACAUCCUGAAGAGCUCCGACUACUGCUUCUACAUGGGAGUCACACGCGAGGAGUACUCCAAAGUUAGUGACCUUGCACAGAACCGAACCUUCAUUCCGUCGGCUGCCAGAACUAGAAAUAUAGAGCUAAUAGCAAAUGAAAUCCAGAAAUGGCUACAGAGUGAAGAUGAUGUUGAAGAUGAGAGUCUGUUUAGUACAAUCACAUCACAGCUGACUAAACAAUGUCUACAUGGUCCUGAACGAAUUCCCCUGAUAAAUCUCGGUAACCACGGUGACGGCAAUAACGUGGACUUGUUUCACCAGCACCAGUUGCUCCGACAGAUGAGUGACCCCGAGGAGUCUGUGGAGUAUGUGACCUCGGAGAACAUCAAUGCAUCAAACAAAGUCUCACAGAUCUUCCCAGAGAUGGCCAUCGAAGGAUUUACCAUUGGGUCACCUCCGUGCACACUGUACAUUGGCAGUAAGCGGACUCUGUGUCACCUACACAUCAACAGACGACCCAUGUGCUGUACAGAGUGGGGAAAGGACUGUGAACACGUGACGUUCAAGAAUGCGAACGACGAGCGCUGGGACAACCAGCUGGUCAUACUGACAGCACAGACGGCCAACGCGGGAAUCUAUAACUUCAUCGUGCCGCUCCGGUCGAGCUUCCACAGUUUCAACUCUCUCAGUCCUAUUAUACUGCUUCUAGAACAGCAACCAGAACAAAUAUUUCUUGAAACCAUUGCACAUUUUCCAUUUGUUUUUUGGAUGCAAGGCAAGAUGACAAGUAUUGACGACCUGUUGGUCGCAGGUAUUAACAAGGCAUCUCACAUCGUGAUAGCUAACCGAGAAUCAGACUCGGAUACCAGUGAAGAGAGACUUGUUGAUGCGGAAAUUGUCGUAGCAGUACACAAAAUAUACAGAUUAUUUCCGAAUGCCAACGUGAUAACGGAACUGAACGACGCGUCUAACAUGAGAUUCAUGCAGUUUGAGGCACACGAUGCCUACACGGUGGAAAUUUCAAAACUAGAAAAGAAACUGAAGGAACAGACAAGCUCAAAUCUACCACAUCUUUUCCGUCUUCCGUUCGCCGCGGGUCACAUGUUCAGUGCGUCCAUGUUGGAUGGACUCCUUUAUCAGACAUUCGUCAAGGGCUACCUGAUCAGUUUUCUUCGACUCAUGCUGGGAAUCGAUGCCCAGGAGAACUCUGGCCAUCUUUCUAGCUUGAAUCUUGUUGGCUCAAACCCCAUUGGUGCCCGAGAAAGUGUUCGACCCAUCAGGCAGUUCGACCCAACCAUUCAGUCAACAUUGUGUUCGUGUUCAGAAAGCAACAGUUACACAGUUCCCAACUUACGGUGACCUUUACAUUGGUCUGUGCUCCACGACUGGGGAAAUCCCUAUUGCUAUUUAUAGAACGGAGAAGAAGCCGACUCCCAGCGCGGAGAAGGAAGAACAGCUCUCCAUGAAGCAAACUUCCUUAUCGCAUCAUGCAACAUCACUAGGG